AAAGUUUAAUUUAAGCUUAAAAGAUUAUUUAAUUUUUUUUUUAUAUGUAAAUUUUUGUGGGGAUCGUAGAAUAAUUUUAAUAAUUAUUUUAUAGUUAUUUAUUUGCAGUAUUUAAUUUUAUAAAUUUAAGAAAUUAAGAUUUAGGAAUAAAUUUUAUUAUUAACAAAUUUUGUGCCAGCAGUUGCGGUUAUACAAAAAAUAAAAAUAAUUUAUUUUUAGUAUAUAAUUAUAUGUAUAUUAAUAUAAUUAAUAAUUAUAUUUAUUAGGUGAAAUUUUAAAUAUAAAUUAUAUUUUUAUAAAGAUUUUAUUAUUAUGAAAUUUUAUUUAGAAACUAGGAUUAGAUACCCUAUUAUUUAAAAUGUUAAUAAUUAAACUAAAGUAGUAUCAGUUAUGUUCUUUAAAUUUAAAGAUUUUGGCGGUAUUUUAGUCUAUUCAGAGGAACCUGUUCUGUAAUUGAUAGUCCACGAUUAACUUUACUUAAAUUUAAAAGUUUGUAUAUCGUUGUUUAUAGAAAAUUUUUUAAGAAAAAUAAUUUUUAAUAAAUUUAAUUAAAUUAUAAAUCAAAUCAAGGUGCAGUUUAUAUUUAAGAAGAAAUGGGUUACAAUAAAAUUAUUUAAACGGAUUUAGAUUUUAAAAUAUUUAAUGAAGGAGGAUUUGAUAGUAAUUUUAUUAAAUUAAAUAAAAUGAUUAUAGCUCUAGAAUAUGUACAUAUUGCCCGUCGCUCUUAUUAUAAGAUAAGAUAAGUCGUAACAUAGUAGAUGUACUGGAAAGUGUAUCUAGAAUGA
rnacentral:ncRNA from 1 species